rnacentral:rRNA from 1 species
AGUGAACGCUGGCGGUAGGCCUAACACAUGCAAGUCGAACGGCAGCACAGUAAGAGCUUGCUCUUACGGGUGGCGAGUGGCGGACGGGUGAGGAAUACAUCGGAAUCUACUUUUUCGUGGGGGAUAACGUAGGGAAACUUACGCUACUACCGCAUACGACCUACGGGUGAAAGCAGGGGAUCUUCGGACCUUGCGCGAUUGAAUGAGCCGAUGUCGGAUUAGCUAGUUGGCGGGGUAAAGGCCCACCAAGGCGACGAUCCGUAGCUGGUCUGAGAGGAUGAUCAGCCACACUGGAACUGAGACACGGUCCAGACUCCUACGGGAGGCAGCAGUGGGGAAUAUUGGACAAUGGGCGCAAGCCUGAUCCAGCCAUACCGCGUGAGUGAAGAAGGCCUUCGGGUUGUAAAGCCCUUUUGUUGGGAAAGAAAAACAGCAGGUUAAUACCCCGCUGUUCUGACGGUACCCAAAGAAUAAGCACCGGCUAACUUCGUG